rnacentral:rRNA from 1 species
GACAGAGGGUGCAAACGUUGCUCGGAAUUACUGGGCGUAAAGGGCGUGUAGGCGGGCAGGUAAGUCGGGCGUGAAAUCCCUGGGCUCAACCCAGGAACUGCACUCGAAACUACUUGCCUUGAGUGCCGGAGAGGAAAGCGGAAUUCCUGGUGUAGAGGUGAAAUUCGUAGAUAUCAGGAGGAACACCAGUGGCGAAGGGCGGCUUUCUGGACGGUAAC